rnacentral:tRNA from 1 species
UGACUUGUAGUUUAGUGGUAAAACGCUCGCUUCGUGAGAGAUUCAGGGUUCGAUUCCCUGCGAGUCCA